rnacentral:rRNA from 1 species
GGGGGAAUAUUGCGCAAUGGGCGAAAGCCUGACGCAGCGACGCCGCGUGAGGGAUGAAGGUUUUCGGAUCGUAAACCUCUGUCAGAAGGGAAGAAACCGCACUGUGCUAAUCAGCAGUGCCUUGACGGUACCUUCAAAGGAAGCACCGGCUAACUCCGUGCCAGCAGCCGCGGUAAUACGGAGGGUGCAAGCGUUAAUCGGAAUUACUGGGCGUAAAGCGCACGUAGGCUGCUUUGUAAGUCAGGGGCGAAAUCCCACGGCUCAACCGUGGAACUGCCUUUUAUACUGCUUAGCUUGAAUCCGGGAGAGGGUGGCGGAAUUCCAGGUGUAGGAGUGAAAUCCGUAGAUAUCUGGAGGAACAUCAGUGGCGAAGGCGGCCACCUGGACCGGUAUUGACGCUGAGGUGCGAAAGCGUGGGGAGCAAACAGG